UUGGAGGGCAAGUCUGGUGCCAGCAGCCGCGGUAAUUCCAGCUCCAAUAGCGUAUAUUAAAGUUGUUGCAGUUAAAAAGCUCGUAGUUGAACCUUGGGCCUGGCUGGCCGGUCCGCCUCACCGCGUGCACUGGUUCGGCCGGGCCUUUCCCUCUGGGGAACCCUAUGGUCUUCACUGAUCGUAGCGGGGAACCAGGACUUUUACUGUGAAAAAAUUAGAGUGUUCAAAGCAGGCCUAUGCUCGAAUACAUUAGCAUGGAAUAAUAAAAUAGGACGUGUGGUUCUAUUUUGUUGGUUUCUAGGACCGCCGUAAUGAUUAAUAGGGACAGUCGGGGGCAUCAGUAUUCAAUUGUCAGAGGUGAAAUUCUUGGAUUUAUUGAAGACUAACUACUGCGAAAGCAUUUGCCAAGGAUGUUUUCAUUAAUCAGGAACGAAAGUUAGGGGAUCGAAGACGAUCAGAUACCGUCGUAGUCUUAACCAUAAACUAUGCCGACUAGGGAUCGGACGGUGUUAUUUUUGACCCGUUCGGCACCUUACGGGAAAC
rnacentral:rRNA from 1 species